GGGACUGUGGCUCAGUGGCAGAGCAUCUGCUUGGCGUGCAGAAGGUCACAGGAUCGCUCCCUGGCAGCUCCA
rnacentral:tRNA from 1 species